GUGCUCGCUUGGGCAGCACAGCCACUAAACUCGGAACGAUACAGAGACGCUCAGCAUGGCCGCUGCACAAGGAUGACAUGCAGCUUCCUGAGAGACGCUCCAAGGCAUA
ensembl:snRNA U6 U6 spliceosomal RNA